rnacentral:rRNA from 1 species
CUCGUAGGCGGCUUGUCGCGUCGACUGUGAAAACCUGCGGCUCAACCGUGUGGUCUGCAGUCGAUACGGGCAGGCUAGAGUUCGGUAGGGGAGACUGGAAUUCCUGGUGUAGCGGUGAAAUGCGCAGAUAUCAGGAGGAACACCGGUGGCGAAGGCGGGUCUCUGGGCCGAUACUGACGCUGAGGAGCGAAAGCGUGGGAGCGAACA